rnacentral:rRNA from 1 species
GACGAACGCUGGCGGCGUGCUUAACACAUGCAAGUCGAACGGAAAGGCCCUGCUUUUGUGGGGUGCUCGUGUGGCGAACGGGUGAGUAACACGUGAGUAUCCCGCCCUUGACUGUGGGAUAACUUCAGGAAACUGGGGCUAAUACCGGAUAUGAGCUCCUGCUGCAUGGUGUUGGUUGGAAAGUUUCGGCGGUUGGGGCUGGACUCGCGGCUUACCAGCUUGUUGGGCGGGUAGUGGCUUACCAAGGCUUUGACGGGUAGCCGGCAUGAGCGGGUGACCGGGGACAAUGGGACUGCGAUACGGCCCAGACGCGUACGGGAGGCAGCAGGGGGGAAUAUGGCAGAAUGGGCGGGAGCCUGAUGCGGCAACGCCGCGUGCGGGAUGACGGCCUUCGGGUGGUAAACCGCUGUCGCAUGUGACGAAGCGGGAGUGACGGUAAUGGGUAAAGAAGCACCGGCUAACUACGUG